CCAGUGUGGAUACCCCUGGGAGGUCACACUCCUCGGGGCUCUGCCCAGGUGGCUAAGGGAGCAGAGAGCUUUGCCCCAUGAUGUACACUCCCUUCCCACAACGUGGAGAUGAACUGGGCCUCUGUCUGCUCCUGCAUAUUUCCACAGCUUCUCAGAGUCUUGCGGACAAUGACCAAGGAGACAAGCCAUGCAGUAAACAUCC
ensembl:snoRNA SNORA73 Small nucleolar RNA SNORA73 family